rnacentral:rRNA from 1 species
CAAGUCGAACGAGAAAGUUCCCUUCGGGGAAUGAGUAAAGUGGCGCACGGGUGAGUAACACGUAGGUAAUCUACCUUCGGGUGGGGAAUAACCCAGGGAAACUUGGGCUAACACCGCAUAAUGCAGCGGCACCACAUGGUGACAGUUGUUAAAGCGGGGGAUUUUCGAACCUCGCGCCUGAAGAGGAGCCUGCGGCAGAUUAGCUAGUUGGUAGGGUAACGGCUUACCAAGGCGACGAUCUGUAGCCGGCCUGAGAGGGCGGUCGGCCACACUGACACUGACAUACGGGUCAGACUCCUACGGGAGGCAGCAGUCGGGAAUUUUGGGCAAUGGGCGAAAGCCUGACCCAGCAACGCCGCGUGAAGGAUGAAAUCCCUCGGGAUGUAAACUUCGCAAGAAUGGGAAGAAUAGACGAACGCCAAUACCGUUCGAGAUGACGGUACCAUUUGUAAGCUCCGGCUAACUCGUGCCAGCAGCCGCGGUAAUACGGGGGGAGCAAGCGUUGUUCGGAUUUACUGGGCGUAAAGGGCGCGUAGGCGGCCAGCGCAAGUCAGUUGUGAAAUCUCCGGGCUUAACUCGGAAAGGUCAACUGAUACUGCGCGGCUAGAGUGCAGAAGGGGCAACUGGAAUUCUCGGUGUAGCGGUGAAAUGCGUAGAUAUCGAGAGGAACACCUGCGGCGAAGGCGGGUUGCUGGGCUGACACUGACGCUGAUGCGCGAAAGCCAGGGGAGCGAACGGGAUUAGAUACCCCGGUAGUCCUGGCCUUAAACGAUGGAUGCUUGGUGUCUGGAGUUUUAUAGUCUCCGGGUGCCGCAGCUAACGCGUUAAGCAUCCCGCC